rnacentral:lncRNA from 1 species
UGCAUCCCAGAAAUAGGAAACUGGAAUUUUGCUAGGUUUGUUGGUAGAGAUUGUUCUCCAUCAUCGGGCGCACCUCUCCACCAAAUUUCAGACAAUUCAAAUCGUCAUUUCCGACGAGUUGCAGAUCUCCCGUGUAACAAAAAUGGCCUACCAUGGAGUUCUAGGUAUUAAUUUGGGGAAAACUCGAUACUGGUAGCGCGAUUAGGAGAACCCGUUUGCACCUCCAAUUUCCCAUAGGUAUCAACCACCAGCUUUAAUUUUGGAAUCAAAGAUCACUGGUAGCACAAACACACCAGGUGUUUGACAAAAUGACACUUUCAUUUUUGGGGCUAAUUGUGGCCAACUAACCAUUGGAAUUUCUUUUACAACACCUAAGGGGAAGGUUUGCAAAGUUUCAGACCAAUCCAAUAAGGUAAUUGAUCACCAUGAGAGCCAGAAAUGCACCAGUUGGCAGGAGAUGAUGUUCUGGUGAUCCAAAACGGCCAAUGCCAAUGCCAAAUAGUUUGUUACGCCGAGGAUAUUGAUAAUUUUCUAUUAGACUGCCCCAAGAAUAAAGCAAUCGAUGCAACAAUGAAAAAAAUGACUUCACCAAACUUAACUAUUUCAGAACUAAAGUGAAGGAAUUAGGGGUUGGGUUAAAAGAUUGGUUUGUUUUAUCGGGUUGGUAUGGGUAAUUAAACAUAACCAGAUGUUAAACGAAAUGUAUGGUCAGAUAAAGAAAAACCAAUAAUAUAAAGACACGUAAAAAUAUGGGGUCAAACAAUUAAUUCUAUGUUAUGAAAUAAUAUAAAGACAAGAACAAUAAUGUAAGAAUAAG